AGAAGGCCUAGGUUCAAUCGCUGGGUGGAGGAAGAUUCCCUGGAGAAGGAAACGGCUACCCACUCCAGUAUUCUUGCCUGGGAAUUCCCAUGGAGAGAGGAGCCUGGUGGGCUACACUCCAUGAGGGUCUCAAAGAGUCGGACACGACUGAGGGAUUAAACCACCAGCACCCCCUCAGGUACCCAGGACUGCUAACUGGGGACAGCAUCCAGGAUCAUCAGCCCCAGAGUCCAGUGAGCACAGCCCAUGACUCUUGGCUUCCAAAGCUCAUCAUGGAACCAGCACUAACAGGCCCCCGUGGAAGACGUCGAAGCAGCCAUGUAUGCAAGGCCUCUGAAGGUGGAUGGACAAGAAAACUUCAAGGCUAGCCAAACAAGCUUUUCUCAAGAGAAGGCUCUUGAAAGCCUGCCAACCUGGCUAAGUUAGACACUGAAGAACUCCUCUCAAGAGAGAGACACACUAAAAGGAAACAAGAGAAGUACAAAGCUCUCAAGGAGUCUAAGGCAAUGUACCUGUUCUAUUUCAGUGUCGAAACCCAGGACCCAUAUGAGUCAAAUAAGACCCCAGAAGAGACUGUUCAUUUACCUAUAGGGGGAGCAUGAGCUGGAGAUCUGCUCUUUGACCUGCCUGCCAUUCAUUUCCUAAUUAUAAGCAACCUGUUUUCACUCCUGGUCCCAGCGAUCCAGUGGGGAAUCCAGACCUCUCCUGCUCUGCUCCAGGGCUGGGCAUGUGAUCUAUACCUGAUCGAUCAUCAUUUUCUAUCCUCUUGGUGGAGAUGAUCGCCUUUGGGUUGAGAAUAUAACCCAAGCUUAGCCAAUGAGACUCAAU
ensembl:lncRNA